GACGAACGCUGGCGGUGUGCUUAACACAUGCAAGUCGAACGGUGAGGCCCUUUCGGGGGUACACGAGUGGCGAACGGGUGAGUAACACGUGAGUAACCUGCCCUCAUCUCUGGGAUAACAGUCGGAAACGGUUGCUAAUACUGGAUAUGAGCUUGCAAGGCAUCUUGUGGGUUGGAAAGAUUUUUUUUGGUUGGGGAUGGACUCGCGGCCUAUCAGCUUGUUGGUGAGGUAGUGGCUCACCAAGGCUUCGACGGGUAGCCGGCCUGAGAGGGCGACCGGCCACAUUGGGACUGAGAUACGGCCCAAACUCCUACGGGAGGCAGCAGUGGGGAAUAUUGCACAAUGGACGGAAGUCUGAUGCAGCAACGCCGCGUGCGGGAUGACGGCCUUCGGGUUGUAAACCGCUUUCAAUUGUGACGAAGCUUUUUUGUGACGGUAGCAGUAGAAGAAGCACCGGCUAACUACGUG
rnacentral:rRNA from 1 species